ACGCUGUUUGGGUAAGGAUUUUCAGUUUUAAACAUCCUCUUUAUACCAUACCUUCAAUCGCAUUUGUCUGCGCCUUCUUCGCAUUUUUGCUUCUUCUCUCGUGAGCCAUACUUGCUUAUUCUCCCAUGUGCCAGAAGCCCAGAACAGGUCGCCACGCUGCCUCUUAGAGCAACACCGGUCACUACGCCGUCGUCACCCCAGCACCGUCACCCUUGCGCCGUUAGCAAGAUCCCAAAGGUUAGGGUUUUUGAAAAUUUGAAAAAGUUAGGGAUUUAGUUUUCUGGGGAAGGUUUUCAGGUUAGGAUAGGUUCAGAAAAUGAAUAUGAAGUUGAACAGGUUUAUCUAUUCAACUAUAAGGCACCAGCCGCACUACACGUGCAAUGCACUAGUGGGUUAAUAAAUAGAGGGGCAUUAGAUAGGUUACAGGUAUUAGUUGGUACUGGUAGGCAUUAGAUAGAAAACAGAAGGGGUUAAUAAAUAGACAUAAGGGGUUAAUAAAUAGGGAGCUUAAUAAAUAUACAGAAAAGUAAUUGAGUACUUUUAGGUUGGGGUUUGUCACGAUAAUGUUAAUUAAUUGAAUACUUUGUUGGUAUUGUUGGUUCAUUAAUUGUAUGCAUGCAUCAAAUGUUUAUUGUUUAGGGCAUUGAAGAAUAUGGCUUUUUCUUCUAAGAAGGAUUUUGCUUGGCAAUGGACAAAAGAUUUGGAUCCUGUCACCAAGCACUUCUAUUGUGUUUUUUGUAACCACAAAUGCACAGAUUCAAUUUUUAGAUUCAAACAUUACUUGGGUGGUGUAAGUUCGGGAGGAAUGAUAAAUUGUAAAAAAGUCCCACCCAAUGUGAAGGAAGAAUGGUUUGCUAAUGUUAUGGGAACUAAAGAAAAGAGGAAAACUAGCCAUGAGUUGUGUCGUGGUGGUGGAGAAGAAAGUGAAAGUGUCGAUAUGGGCACAACAAGGACACCAUAUGUAAGUAGUGGGAGUGGGAGUGGGAGUGUGAGUGCGACAUAUUCACAACAAACUGGUUCUUUUCUACCACCUAGGUCAAGGAGACCACUUGAUAGGUAUGUUACAUCGGAAGCUCGUCAAGCCACAUUGAAUACACCUUUCAAAAAAGAGGAAAGAAGACAAGCAUCCCGGGCACUUGUGUGAUGGUUCUACACUAGUGUCAUUCCAUUCAAUGCGGCAAACAAUGAACAUUAUGUUAAUGCAAUGAAAUUGGUAUCCAAUUUUGGUCCCGACUUUAAUGCUCCUACAAGCCAUGAAUAUAGAACUUGGAUGCUCAAAGAAGAAGUUGAGGAUGUAAAAACUAUGAUGAAAGAACAUCAAAAGGCUUGGAAGAGAUAUGAAUGCACUAUUAUGUCAGAUGGAUUGUCGGAUGGCAAAAGUAGGUGUUUAAUCAACUUUCUUGUCAAUAACCCGUAAGGUACUUGGUUCUUGAAAUCGAUUGAUGCAUCGGCCUCAUUAAGAAUGGAGAUUUGUUGUAUGGCUAUUUGGAUGAUGUUAUUCAAGAAGUUGGGGAGGAGAAUGUGGUUCAAGUUAUAUCCGACAAUGCUUUGAACUACAAGAAUGCCGGGGCAAAACUUAUGGAGAGGAAAGAGAAGGUGUGGUGGACUUCAUGUGCGGCUCAUUGCAUUGAUUUGAUGCUAGAAUAUAUUUUUAAGAUGAUAUGGUUUGAUGACACUCUCAAACGUGUUAGGUGUAUUUCAAAGUAUCUAUAUGGGCAUCAAUGGGUACUAGCUUUGAUGAGAAAAUACACCAACAAUUCGGAAAGUAUCUACAAGGUUUGCCACUUAUUUCCUUACACUACAAAGCUUACAAAAGCAAAAGGAAAAUCUUGUUGCUUUGUUUGCCUCUCAAGAAUGGUCGGAAAGUACCUAUGCAAAAUCCCAUGAAGCAAAGUUGGCAAAGCAUCAUGUGUUACAUGAUCGUGAGUUUUGGGGUCGAGUUUCCUUUUGCAUUAAGGGUGUUCUUCCUCUUGUUUGUGUUUUGAGAGAGGUUGAUUCGGAGGAAAGACCUCUCAUGGGUUUUAUAUAUGAGUUGAUGGAUGCCGCAAAAGAGAAAAUUGCGAGCAAUCUUAACAAAGUGGAGAAAAAAUAUAUGCCUAUUUGGAGAAAGAUAGAUCGUAGAUGGGACGAUCAACUUCAUCAACCAUUACAUGCGGCGGGCUAUUACUUAAACCCACAAUUUCGAUAUGAGGAUGAUUUCUUAGCUAUUGAUGAAGUGGUAAAUGGGUUGUUUGCUUGCAUGGAUAGGAUGCUUGGGAAAGGGAAAGAACGUGAAAAGGCCGAUUGUCAAUUGGAUUUAUAUAAUGAUAAGCGUGGUCCAUUUGUGGAUUCUAUGGCUAUGCAAACUAGGAAAAAGCGAACACCAACGGCUUGGUGGGAGCGCUUUGGGCAUAAAACACCCGAGUUAAGGAAGUUUGAUGUCUGAGUUCUAAGCCUUACUUGUAGUGCGUCGGGAUAUGAGAGGAAUUGGAGCACAUUUUCAAUGAUUCAUACAAAAAGAAGGAAUAGACUUGAACACAAAAGGCUUAAUGCUUUAGCCUAUGUCAAGUAUAGUUUGGCUUUACAACAGAGAAGUAAGAAAAUGAGGGAGAAGUAUGAUCCUAUUGUUGUGGAAGAAAUUGCCUCUGAUGAUGAGUGGAUAACGGAGAUAAAAGAUCCCGUUCUUCCCGAAGAUCCUACAUGGCUUGAGGAUGAGUUAUUGUAUAAUGUUAAGGCCGUAAAGAAUGUGCCACCCCUGGUUUAUGAAGGUGGCCCAUACAUUCAAGAGCCUAGAGAGUUUUCUUCUCCUCCUCCUCGUGAGCCUACUCCUCCUUGAGAGCCUACUCAACCUCGGGGUCUUAUUACAUACAAAAGAAAACGAGGUAAUGAAGAAUCCUCAAGUCAAAGAAAUGUGAAGUAUGAUUCAAAAGAAUCUUUUGAUGAAUUGAUGACAUACCCUACAAGGUCAUCUAGAGUUGGCAAUGAAGAGGAUGAUGCCUUUUAUUUAGAUGAAGAGGAUUUGGAUGAUUGAUUGAUAUCUUUGUUUGUAUUUUGAUUUCUAUGAAGAGGAUUUGGAUGAAUGAUUGUUUUCUUUGUUUGUAUUACCUUUUGAAUGAUAAAUUUGGAUGAUAUUACCUUUGAA